rnacentral:rRNA from 1 species
AGAGUUUGAUCCUGGCUCAGGACGAACGCUGGCGGCGUGCCUAAUACAUGCAAGUCGAGCGAGCUUGCCUAUAGAAGUUCUUCGGAAUGGACAUAGAUACAAGCUAGCGGCGGAUGGGUGAGUAACGCGUGGGUAACCUGCCCUUAAGUCUGGGAUACCAUUUGGAAACAGAUGCUAAUACCGGAUAAAAGCUACUUUCGCAUGAAAGAAGUUUAAAAGGCGGCGUAAGCUGUCGCUAAAGGAUGGACCUGCGAUGCAUUAGCUAGUUGGUAAGGUAACGGCUUACCAAGGCGAUGAUGCAUAGCCGAGUUGAGAGACUGAUCGGCCACAUUGGGACUGAGACACGGCCCAAACUCCUACGGGAGGCAGCAGUAGGGAAUCUUCCACAAUGGACGAAAGUCUGAUGGAGCAACGCCGCGUGAGUGAAGAAGGUUUUCGGAUCGUAAAGCUCUGUUGUUGGUGAAGAAGGAUAGAGGUAGUAACUGGCCUUUAUUUGACGGUAAUCAACCAGAAAGUCACGGCUAACUACGUGCCAGCAGCCGCGGUAAUACGUAGGUGGCAAGCGUUGUCCGGAUUUAUUGGGCGUAAAGCGAGCGCAGGCGGAUUGAUAAGUCUGAUGUGAAAGCCUUCGGCUCAACCGAAGAACUGCAUCAGAAACUGUCAAUCUUGAGUGCAGAAGAGGAGAGUGGAACUCCAUGUGUAGCGGUGGAAUGCGUAGAUAUAUGGAAGAACACCAGUGGCGAAGGCGGCUCUCUGGUCUGUAACUGACGCUGAGGCUCGAAAGCAUGGGUAGCGAACAGGAUUAGAUACCCUGGUAGUCCAUGCCGUAAACGAUGAGUGCUAAGUGUUGGGAGGUUUCCGCCUCUCAGUGCUGCAGCUAACGCAUUAAGCACUCCGCCUGGGGAGUACGACCGCAAGGUUGAAACUCAAAGGAAUUGACGGGGGCCCGCACAAGCGGUGGGAGCAUGUGGUUUAAUUCGAAGCAACGCGAAGAACCUUACCAGGUCUUGACAUCCUUUGACCACCUAAGAGAUUAGGUUUUCCCUUCGGGGACAAAGAGACAGGUGGUGCAUGGCUGUCGUCAGCUCGUGUCGUGAGA